GAACUGCGAUAAGUAAUGUGAAUUGCAGAAUUCAGUGAAUCAUCGAAUCUUUGAACGCACAUUGCGCCCCUUGGUAUUCCAUGGGGCAUGCCUGUUCGAGCGUCAUUUGUACCCUCAAGCUCUGCUUGGUGUUGGGUGUUUGUCCCGUCUCCGCGCGUGGACUCGCCCCAAAGUGAUUGGCAGCCGGCGUACUGGUCCCGGAGCGCAGCACAUGUCGCGCAAACGAGUGCCUUGGUACGGCGGCGUCCAUAAGCCCCUCUCUCACGCUCUUGACCUCGGAUCAGGUAGGGAUACCCGCUGAACUUAAGC
rnacentral:misc_RNA from 1 species